rnacentral:lncRNA from 1 species
CUUGAAAUAGGAUCUCAGGACGAGUUUUGAAGUAGGAUCUCAAGGCUAGUCGAAGAGGGCCCUCCUUCUAGCGCCAAAUAUUGCUGCCGAUCUUCCCAUCUGAGGUCGGGUGCCGAAGUAGCCAUGGCCGACAUAGAUCCGUUGUUGAAGUUUCGCUCGAAUACCUGUAAAACAAAUCCACAACGGGGGGUGGGCUCUGGUAUAGACCGUCCGACACUCAUGUUCGGAGAUAGAGAAUGAUGAGAAGAGAGAAUUAGGAGUCAAUUAAUUGCAUACCUUUGGAGGAUCCUGGAGCUUUUAAUUUAUGAGAGAGGAGUUUGAGGCGUAUUCAACUCAAAGUUGUGAUGAUUUCUGGAUUUAUCGGAUGGAUAGAUUCGGAUGAGGAGUUUCUUUUUUAUGAGAGAUUCGAUCACAAAGGAGUUCUACUUUAUCUGGACUUUCUAAAUUUGGAGAAGAAGAGUCAGUAGACAGAUGUAAUAGUUCUGCAAGGACCGACCUAGUAGAUCUUCUUAGGCAACAGCGGACCUA